UACGUAGGGGGCAAGCGUUGUCCGGAUUUAUUGGGCGUAAAGAGCGUGUAGGCGGCCCGACAGGUCCGUUGUGAAAACUCGAGGCUCAACCUCGAGACGUCGAUGGAAACCGUCGGGCUAGAGUCCGGAAGAGGAGAGUGGAAUUCCUGGUGUAGCGGUGAAAUGCGCAGAUAUCAGGAGGAACACCGGUGGCGAAGGCGGGUCUCUGGGCCGAUACUGACGCUGAGGAGCGAAAGCGUGGGGAGCGAACAGG
rnacentral:rRNA from 1 species